rnacentral:lncRNA from 1 species
CAAAACCCACAAUGAACAUGUCAUUGCAGAUGUGUGUCCUAUCUGAGUGCACAGGGUAAGAUCAAACUUUAUCAUGCCAAGAGAACGUUCAUACGAAAAUUAACUGGAGACACCAGGCAGAUUAGAAUAGAAGUAAAGGUGCUGGAGAGAUGGUUCCACAGUUGAUACUGGCUAUUGUUCCAGAGGUCCUGGGUUCAAUUCCCAGCAACCACACAGUGGCUCACAAUCAUCUAUAGUGAGAUCUGGCGCCCUCUUCUGGCCUGCAAGCAUGCAUGCAGGCAAAAUGCUGUAGAAGUAACAAAUCUUAAACAAACUAAGAUACAAAAAAAAUAGGUUUGGAAAGCUAUGUGUAUAUUAUAUAAAAAGUGCAACCAUAUCUACUGCUAUCCUGCAUAGAUAUCCAGGGGUCUGCGGCGUCCUUCUAUUUCUAACAGUUCACCCACCACUUCAAUAUCUGAGGCCAGUGUCACGAAAUAACUUCAGCUACAUAAUAUAUAUACCAUUGUCAUUCAAGCCUGGAAAUAAUAACUUUUUAAAGGAAUUUAUAAAGAGUUUUAGUCAGUAUGUUGCCACAGGACCUGUCAGGAGUUGGAGAGAUGGCUCAGCAGUUAAGAGCAACAACUGCUCUCCCAGAGACCCUGAGUCCAAAUCCCAGAAACCACUCGGCCGCUUAGAGCCAUCUGUAAUGGGAUCUGAUGCCCUCUUCUGGUGUGCUUGAAGGUAGCUACAAUGUACUCAGAUAAGUAAAAAAUAAAUAUUAAAAAAAAGAAAAA